AUUGAACGCUGGCGGCAUGCUUUACACAUGCAAGUCGAACGGCAGCGCGGGCUUCGGCCUGGCGGCGAGUGGCGAACGGGUGAGUAAUGCAUCGGAACGCGCCCAGUAGUGGGGGAUAGCCCGGCGAAAGCCGGAUUAAUACCGCAUACGACCUGAGGGUGAAAGCGGGGGACCGAAAGGCCUCGCGCUAUUGGAGCGGCCGAUGUCGGAUUAGCUAGUUGGUGGGGUAAAGGCUUACCAAGGCGACGAUCCGUAGCUGGUCUGAGAGGACGACCAGCCACACUGGGACUGAGACACGGCCCAGACUCCUACGGGAGGCAGCAGUGGGGAAUUUUGGACAAUGGGGGCAACCCUGAUCCGGCCAUGCCGCGUGCGGGAAGAAGGCCUUCGGGUUGUAAACCGCUUUUGUUCGGGAAGAAAUCCUCUGGGCUAAUACCCCGGGGGGAUGACGGUACCGGAAGAAUAAGCACCGGCUAACUAUGUG
rnacentral:rRNA from 1 species